UUUAAAUUUAGAGUUUGAUCCUGGCUCAGGACGAACGCUGGCGGCGUGCUUAACACAUGCAAGUCGAGCGAUGAAGCUUUCUUCGGGAAGUGGAUUAGCGGCGGACGGGUGAGUAACACGUGGGUAACCUGCCUCAAAGUGGGGGAUAGCCUUCCGAAAGGAAGAUUAAUACCGCAUAAUAUAGGAGAAUCGCAUGAUUUUCUUAUCAAAGAUUUAUUGCUUUGAGAUGGACCCGCGGCGCAUUAGCUAGUUGGUAAGGUAACGGCUUACCAAGGCAACGAUGCGUAGCCGACCUGAGAGGGUGAUCGGCCACAUUGGAACUGAGACACGGUCCAGACUCCUACGGGAGGCAGCAGUGGGGAAUAUUGCGCAAUGGGGGAAACCCUGACGCAGCAACGCCGCGUGGGUGAUGAAGGUCUUCGGAUUGUAAAGCCCUGUUUUCUGGGACGAUAAUGACGGUACCAGAGGAGGAAGCCACGGCUAACUACGUGCCAGCAGCCGCGGUAAUACGUAGGUGGCGAGCGUUGUCCGGAUUUACUGGGCGUAAAGGGUGCGUAGGCGGAUGUUUAAGUGGGAUGUGAAAUCCCCGGGCUUAACCUGGGGGCUGCAUUCCAAACUGGAUAUCUAGAGUGCAGGAGAGGAAAGCGGAAUUCCUAGUGUAGCGGUGAAAUG
rnacentral:rRNA from 1 species